GAUGAACGCUGGCGGCGUGCCUAAUACAUGCAGGUCGAGCGAAUGGAUUGAGAGCUUGCUCUUAUGAAGUUAGCGGCGGACGGGUGAGUAACACGUGGGUAACCUGCCCAUAGGACUGGGAUAACUCCGGGAAACCGGGGCUAAUACCGGAUAACAUUUUGAACCGCAUGGUUCGAAAUUGAAAGGCGGCUUCGGCUGUCACUUAUGGAUGGACCCGCGUCGCAUUAGCUAGUUGGUGAGGUAACGGCUCACCAAGGCAACGAUGCGUAGCCGACCUGGGAGGGUGAUCGGCCACACUGGGACUGAGACACGGCCCAGACUCCUACGGGAGGCAGCAGUAGGGAAUCUUCCGCAAUGGACGAAAGUCUGACGGAGCAACGCCGCGUGAGUGAUGAAGGCUUUCGGGUCGUAAAACUCUGUUGUUAGGGAAGAACAAGUGCUAGUUGAAUAAGCUGGCACCUUGACGGUACCUAACCAGAAAGCCACGGCUAACUACGUGCCAGCCGCCGCAGUAA
rnacentral:rRNA from 1 species